UUCGCGCCGGGAUCUUAAAACAACUCCUGAGAGAUAUGACUUAAAUUUCCUACGGUGACCUCUUAUAAUAAUGAAGAACAGUUACCAUUACACGGAGAGGGCCCGGACCAGGGCGCGCCAACGCCACUUCCGCCUCCUGCGUGUGUGUAUCCUGCCUCCGAAUUCAUCCUGUAUUCACCCCGGAAUUGAUGUAUUUUCGUUUGAUGCUAAACCUCCUUUUUCCCGUAUUUUCUUUGCGCUUCCCUCUGCUCAGCCCCCGCAACCUUUUACCGCACUGUUGCCGACCCACGAAAGUGAUCGCUCCCGGAAAAAAUAUUGUAAUGCAAGAGUAAAUAAAUACACUGAGAGCAAAAUUAAAUAAAUAGAAUUGAAAAUCAAUCCACUAUAAAAUAAAAUCCUUCUUCCAGCUCCUUUGUAACGGAUAAUCACCGCAACUGCUGCAUGGAUCUCGGUGCGGUUCAUAGUGUCGAUCAUAGAGGAACAAAUUUUUUGAGAAAAUCAUCAAACCCAUGUAAAAGUCUUCCUCUAUUUUUCCAAGUUUCUACAUUGUUGACUAUUAUCUUUGUUUUGGAAUUUUUAUUAAUAUUUUAUGGAAAUUCAUUUGUCAUCGGAUGGAUUAACAUGUUUUACAUAGCAUGCCUGUACUUUUUUGAUGGGUAAAUCCUGUGAUUUUUUGUAAGAAUAUGCUGUUAAAACAGAAUACUCAUUAGCACUAGUUUUAAACGCCCAUUGAUUUUCCCGCCAAUGACGCUUACGAAACUAUACCUCUGGUCAGCUCAAACCACCAGUUUGACAAGCACCUGACCUGACCAGAGGUUUUAUAAUCUGCCCUCAUUAGUGGGUCAUUCAGCGGCUUGCGGCAUGCAAGCGCGAAACGGGCGCUGGCGCCUACAAACCUAACAGGGAUACUUCACGCAUUGCGCAAUGCGUGAAGUAUCCCUGUUAGGUUUGUAGGCGCCUAUGCGCGAGUCACGCUAGUUGCCCGCUGCGCCAUUGAGUGACACGGCGUUGCGCUUCAACCAAUUAACCGAACACCUUCGCGGAUUAAGCAUCAGUUCAUCUGUUAUUUCUUUCCAGCUGCCUGGAUUGCAAGCACAGGUUAUAUAAAAAGGGCCGGACGGCCCUCUUAACGUGCGUAUGCAAAGCAAUCUUGAGUAUAUAGUUUUUAACAAUUUUGACACGUACAGUGCGUGAA
rnacentral:lncRNA from 1 species